AGUAAAAUAAGCUAACUAAUAAGCUGUAGGACUCAUGCUUCUAAAAUGUUGGUUAAAAUCCACCUUUUACUA
rnacentral:tRNA from 1 species